CCCCAAUUUUAUAGAUGGCAUGGAGCUUUUAUACAAGAAAAACAAACAAGAUUGGUUUACGCACCAAAACAUAAAGUGGCUUUUUGCACUCGACUCAAGGUUUAUCUUGUGGUGAAAUAAUUCGAAUUAAUUCGUAAAUUAGCCAACCCAGUACUAUCUCCAGCUAUUAUGGUUGGUGCAGUCUGGAAGCAGGAUAAUCGCGGCAAAGGUAUAUAUGUUGAUCAUGAAACAGCUGCAAGUGAGGAAGAAAAUGAGGACAACUAUGUGGAAGAUGAAAGUUUGGGCAAUUGGGCAGAUUUGCCUGAUUUGGUCAUUGAAAGAAUCUUUUCUUAUCUGAGUAAUGAAAAGCGUUAUUAUGGAUCUCUGGUGUGCAGAAGAUGGUAUCAGGCAUUUCAUCUGCCAUAUGUCUGGUCCACUUUUGUGCUAGAAGAUCGUGUUUUAUCAAGAAGACGGUUUAACUACCAUUUAGGCUGGCAAUAUACUUUAGACCACUACAGAGCUCAAAUAUUUUUGUACAAAACAGCCAAAAAUAUUCGAACCCUUAUUUUUGCUCCCAUGUUGAAUUUCUUUAAUCUCUUUGAGGUCAUGAAUAUGCUCUCCCAAUUCAGUGAAAGGUACCCAGGUUCCCUUGACAACAUCCAUACACUCAAGUUUACUUUCAACUGUGAUAUGGCGUUUCGGACGGAAAACGCCAUUUACGGUACUGGUGGUCAGCUCUUGCAAGCACUUAAAAAUCUUAUGUCUUUUCUACCUGGCCUCACGAGCUUGGAAUUGACCAAUCUGCUGUUGGACAGUUCGGAAGCUCUCUAUCUCUUGGACGAUGUCUGUUACACUAGAUGCCUCAAUCUCCAUUCACUGACACUUAUCAAUUGCACCAAAGUUCCUUGUCGUCUUCUUCACCCAGGCGCCUUCCUUCGACUGCAUUCUCUCCGAAUCAGUCCGCAAACAUUAAGCUCCGAUUUGCUUUGGCUCAUAAGCUCUACAAAAUUGAAACACUUACACAUCAUUCAGAACGCCUACACUGAAUCUUGCUACAGCAUCGAACCUAAAGCCUGGAGCGAUUUGAAUCGAAAGAAUCCGGCAAUAAGAGUCCACUUGAAAUCAAUGGGGAAAACUAAAAGAGAAAUUGUCUGGCAGGAACGUGCCCCAGUAUCAUCCGUAUUGUACAAUUCCCGUUAUUCUAAGGUGUCCAUGUCAAGUAUUCUGACCAUCGUUGAUCUCUACCGCGAUCGACUGAAAGUUUAUGGUCACCUGGGGCUUCCUCGAUUCCAUACGUCCAACAGCUUCCAGAAUCGGAUCGACAUGUCCUUGAUCACUCUUGUUCGGGAAUGUCCAAAUCUUAACACACUGGUAAACUCGUUCCAUGUCUAAUUGUCUAUUUUUACCGAAUGCUUGUAACGCAUAAUUUAUUGUGUGCUACUAAACCCCCAGCAUGUCAUGGAAAAACUUGAUUGCACGUUUUUUAAAAGUCAUUCCAGACAGUAUUUGUAGGUUUACCUAACUCCUUAGAUGAGUGCGUGUUUGCAUGGACGUUGUUAUCUUGUCAGUAGGUAAUCCGCGAGAGGAUUUCAACUGCGACAUUGAUCCUGUUGGUCAGCUCAGCCAAUUGUCAACGCUUGCAUCGUCUUUACGUUCGCCGUAACGCCUUGCUACUCCGCGCCGACUGGCCUCGUAGCCUCGAG
rnacentral:misc_RNA from 1 species